AUUUUCAAUAGAAUUGUUUUAACGUAAUUUUUAAUUGUUUAGAGGGCUUAAAUUUUCUCCAAAAAAUUAGUCAUUUUACCUUAAUGUGUAAGUUUAUUAAGUUAAAUUAAAAAUUUGCAGAUGUCAGCUUUACGACUUCGAUAGUUAAAGUGGUCAUUCAUUUUUAAAUUUUGCUAAUUGAACACAUGUGGUCAAUUGUUGUUUUGUUUUGGUUGCAAUAUCAUUUGUGGCUAAGGUUUUCAUGUAAAAUAUACUGAACUGGAAAAGCUGUGAAAGUUACCAACCUUGAUGUUUUUACAAAUUAUACAAUCAAAGAAAAUGAGUUUGAUCAAAACAAAAAUAUCCUUCCAUCUUGACAAACCGACACAUUUGGGGAUAAGAUAAAAGCGUACUCAGCUGAAGAAAACAAUGUCGCUGUCUUCAUUCAAAAGCACAAUUCAUAUCUGAAUCUCAUAAGUUGAUCACUCAGACAUGGCGUGGCAUAAGUGUGUAUACCUAUAAGGAAUGUGUUUAAUGAUCACAUUAAUUGGAAUCAUGUGCCCGUGAUGGAGACCGUGAUGAAAUGAUUUAUGGCAAUAAGCGUAAAAAUAGUAUUGCUAAGAGUAUUUGGAAAUGUGGAUAACGCGAGUUAAAUCAAUAUCUCAAAACAAUCGGCAUCACGCUCAAUCAAAUUAGUUUACAGUGCAGUGCAAUCAUUGAAGGUUAAAAUCGUCCUCUGACCAUACGAAGCAUAGCAUCAGCUAAUACAUCAAGAUGAGCCUUUGUCUGUGGAUAAACCGGAAAAGAAAAGAAAAAAAGAUUCAGUUAAAUCCAGAUGAGUG